AGAGUUUGAUCCUGGCUCAGGAUGAACGCUGGCGGCGUGCCUAACACAUGCAAGUCGAACGGACUCGGAUUGAAACCUAGUGAUUUCCGAGUUAGUGGCGGACGGGUGAGUAACGCGUGGAUAACCUGCCGUAUGCAGGGGGAUAACAGUUGGAAACAGCUGCUAAUACCGCAUAAGCGCACAAUACCGCAUGGUACUGUGUGAAAAGAUUUAUCGGCAUACGAUGGAUCCGCGUCCGAUUAGCCAGUUGGCGGGGUAACGGCCCACCAAAGCGACGAUCGGUAGCCGGCCUGAGAGGGUGGACGGCCACAUUGGGACUGAGACACGGCCCAAACUCCUACGGGAGGCAGCAGUGGGGAAUAUUGCACAAUGGGGGAAACCCUGAUGCAGCGACGCCGCGUGAGUGAAGAAGUAUCUCGGUAUGUAAAGCUCUAUCAGCAGGGAAGAAAAUGACGGUACCUGACUAAGAAGCCCCGGCUAACUACGUG
rnacentral:rRNA from 1 species